rnacentral:tRNA from 1 species
AUUUAUUCAGUAUAUACACUGUACACUUAAUUUCCAAUUAAGAAGAUUGAUUAUCAAAAUAAAUA